UACGAAGGGGGCUAGCGUUGUUCGGAAUUACUGGGCGUAAAGCGCGCGCAGGCGGUCUUCCAAGUCAGUGGUGAAAGCCCGGAGCUCAACUCCGGAACUGCCAUUGAAACUGUGAGACUUGAGGAUGAGAGAGGUGAGUGGAAUUCCCAGUGUAGAGGUGAAAUUCGUAGAUAUUGGGAAGAACACCGGUGGCGAAGGCGGCUCACUGGCCGGUACUGACGCUGAGGUGCGAAAGCGUGGGGAGCAAACAGG
rnacentral:rRNA from 1 species